GAUAAACGCUGGCGGCGUGCAUAACACAUUCAAGGUCGAACGGACCUUAUGGAAAAGCUUGCUUGGAAAUAAGGUUAGUGGCGGACGGGUGAGUAACGCGUGAGCAACCUGCCUAGUCAGUGGGGAAUAACGUUUGGAAACGAACGCUAAUACCGCAUAAUGUACGAAGAUCGCAAUGUUUUUCGUACCAAAGAUUUAUUGCUGAUAGAUGGGCUCGCGUCUGAUUAGCUAGUUGGCGGGUAAGGCCCACCAAGGCGACGAUGUCUAGGGGUUCCUGAGAGGAAGGUCCCCACACUGGUACUGAGACACGGACCAGACUCCUACGGGAGGCAGCAGUGAGGAAUAUUGGGUCAAUGGGCGAGAGCCUGAACCAGCCAAGUCGCGUGAGGGACGACGGUACUAAGUAUUGUAAACCU
rnacentral:rRNA from 1 species